AAAACUAAUUGGUGGAAAAUAAGAUGAGCAAAUUCACAUGGUCAUCUCCACCUUUUCAAAGCUAAUCCUUAGCUUAUCAUAAUGCCAAGGGUAUCUUUUAACUCCUACCCGGAUGAACGUGCAAUCAAUCAUUACAUCAAGUUGUUAGGGGAUAUUUGACUGAGAAAGGGUUAAUCAUACAAACAUACAAGUUAGACUAGUCAAACGCAUGGAUGGCAUGCAAGAAUACGCAUCAGCUAGCUAGGUUCCAUGUGUGAAAAAGUCAUGAAAAUGACACCCUGUAGUUUUCCACGUGUAGUUCACCUAAUCUAUAUGCUUAGUAGUUAUCUCAUGUCAAAUGGAAAUACACCAGCUUUGCCCAUCUGAGGCACCCAACUGAAUAAUGAGUUAGGCCUAACUUGGAACUAAA
rnacentral:lncRNA from 1 species